rnacentral:rRNA from 1 species
UACGUAGGGCGCAAGCGUUGUCCGGAAUUAUUGGGCGUAAAGAGCUCGUAGGUGGUUUGUCGCGUCUGCCGUGAAAGCCCGGGGCUUAACUCCGGGUCUGCGGUGGAUACGGGCAGACUAGAGGCAGGUAGGGGAGAACGGAAUUCCCGGUGUAGCGGUGAAAUGCGCAGAUAUCUGGAGGAACACCGGUGGCGAAGGCGGCAUCCUGGACCAACACUGACACUGAGGAGCGAAAGCCAGGGGAGCAAACGGG